AGCUUUCUAAAUCAGUGCAGAGAUUUCGUCAAACACCAACACAUUAGGACAGACCAAACGUCCAUGAUAAGUGAAGUU
rnacentral:pre_miRNA from 1 species